rnacentral:rRNA from 1 species
CCUACGGGUGGCAGCAGUGGGGCAUAUUGCACAAUGGGGGAAACCCUGAUGCAGCGACGCCGCGUGAGUGAAGAAGUAUUUCGGUACGUAAAGCUCUAUCAGCAGGGAAGAAAAAAAGGCCUUUGGACUUUUGACGGUACCUGACCAAGAAGCUCCGGCUAACUACGUGCCAGCAGCCGCGGUAAUACGGAGGGGGCAAGCGUUAUCCGGAUUUACGGGGUGUAAAGGGAGCGCAGACGGCAGCGCAAGUCUGGAGUGAAAUGCCGGGGCCCAACCCCGGAACUGCUUUGGAAACUGUGCAGCUGGAGUGCAGGAGAGGUAAGCGGAAUUCCUAGUGUAGCGGUGAAAGGCGUAGAUAUUAGGAGGAACACCAGUGGCGAAGGCGGCUUACUGGACUGUAACUGACGUUGAGGCUCGAAAGCGUGGGGAGCAAACAGGAUUAGAUACCCUUGUAGUC